rnacentral:rRNA from 1 species
CGCUUCCAUUGGAGGGCAAGUCUGGUGCCAGCAGCCGCGGUAAUUCCAGCUCCAAUAGCGUAUAUUAAAGUUGUUGCAGUUAAAAAGCUCGUAGUUGAACCUCGGGUUCAACUGGCUGGUCCGCCGAAAGGCGUGUACUGGUUCAGUUGGACCUUUCCUCCUGGCUAACCUUAAUGUCCUUCACCGGAUGUUUUGGCGAACCAGGACUUUUACUUUGAAAAAAUUAGAGUGUUCAAAGCAGGCCUUCGCUCGAAUAUAUUAGCAUGGAAUAAUAAAAUAGGACGUAUGGUUCUAUUUUGUUGGUUUCUAGGACCAUCGUAAUGAUUAAUAGGGACAGUCGGGGGCAUCAGUAUUCAGUUGUCAGAGGUGAAAUUCUUGGAUUUACUGAAGACUAACUACUGCGAAAGCAUUUGCCAAGGAUGUUUUCAUUAAUCAAGAACGAAAGUUAGGGGAUCGAAGACGAUCUAGAUAUCCGUUCCGCAAGGUAAGU